rnacentral:misc_RNA from 1 species
AGCAGCCGCGGUAAUUCCAGCUCCAAUAGCGUAUAUUAAAGUUGUUGCAGUUAAAAGCUCGUAGUUGAAUUUCGGGGUUAGUAGAUUGGUCAUGCCAUCGGUAUGUACUGGUCUCACUGAUUCCUCCUUCCUGAUGAGCCGUAAUGCCAUUAAUUUGGUGUUGCGGGGAAUUUGGACUGUUACUUUGAAAAAUUAGAGUGUUUAAAGCAAGCUAACGCUUGAAUACAUUAGCAUGGAAUAAUGAAAUAGGACGUUCGAUCCUAUUUUGUUGGUUUCUAGGAUUGACGUAAUGAUUAAUAGGGAUAGUUGGGGGCAUUAGUAUUCAAUUGUCAGAGGUGAAAUUCUUGGAUUUAUUGAAGACUAACUACUGCGAAAGCAUUUGCCAAGGAUGUUUUCAUUAAUCAAGAACGAAAGUUAGGGAUCGAAGACGAUCAGAUACCGUCGUAGUCUUAACCAUAAACUAUGCCGACUAGGGAUCGGAUGAUGUUAAUUUUUUAAUGUACUCAUUCGGUCCG